rnacentral:rRNA from 1 species
GACAGAGGUGGCGAGCGUUGUUCGGAUUUAUUGGGCGUAAAGCGAACGCAGGUGGUUUGGUAAGUCAGAGGUGAAAGACCACAGCUUAACUGUGGCACUGCCUUUGAUACUGCCUUUCUAGAGUGCAUGAGGGGGAAGCGGAAUUCCGAGUGUAGAGGUGAAAUUCGUAGAUAUUCGGAAGAACACCAGUGGCGAAGGCGACUACCUGGCCGUCGAUUGACGCUCAUGUGCGAAAGCGUGGGGAGCAAACAGGAUUAGAAA